rnacentral:rRNA from 1 species
UACGUAGGGGGCAAGCGUUGUCCGGAAUCAUUGGGCGUAAAGCGCGUGUAGGCGGCCCGGUAAGUCCGCUGUGAAAGUCGGGGGCUCAACCCUCGAAUGCCGGUGGAUACUGUCGGGCUAGAGUGCGGGAGAGGCGAGUGGAAUUCCUGGUGUAGCGGUGGAAUGCGCAGAUAUCAGGAGGAACACCAAUAGCGAAGGCAGCUCGCUGGGACGGUACUGACGCUGAGGCGCGAAAGCAUGGGGAGCGAACAGG